rnacentral:rRNA from 1 species
UACAGAGGUCUCAAGCGUUGUUCGGAUUCAUUGGGCGUAAAGGGUGCGUAGGCGGCGCGGUAAGUCGGGUUUGAAAUCUCGGGGCUUAACUCCGAAACUGCAUUCGAUACUGCCGUGCUUGAGGACUGGAGAGGAGACUGGAAUUUACGGUGUAGCGGUGAAAUGCGUAGAUAUCGUAAGGAAGACCAGUGGCGAAGGCGGGUCUCUGGACAGUUCCUGACGCUGAGGCACGAAGGCCAGGGGAGCAAACGGG